rnacentral:rRNA from 1 species
AGACAGGGUGCUGCAUGGCUGUCGUCAGCUCGUGUCGUGAGAUGUUGGGCUAAGUCCCGCAACGAGCGCAACCCUCGCCUUUAGUUGCCAGCAUUUAGUUGGGCACUCUAAAGGGACUGCCGGUGUUAAACCGGAGGAAGGUGGGGGAUGACGUCAAGUCCUCAUGGCCUUUAUGCCUAGGGCUACACACGUGCUACAAUGGGCGGUACAAAGGGUUGCAAUCCCGCGAGGGGGAGCCAAUCCCAAAAAGCCGUUCUCAGUUCGGAUUGGAGUCUGCAACUCGACUCCAUGAAGUUGGAAUCGCUAGUAAUCGUGGAUCAGCAUGCCACGGUGAAUACGUUCCCGGGCCUU